rnacentral:rRNA from 1 species
GGGUUGUGAGGUUAAGCGACUAAGCGUACACGGUGGAUGCCCUGGCAGUCAGAGGCGAUGAAGGACGUGCUAAUCUGCGAUAAGCGUCGGUGAGGUGAUAUGAACCGUUAUAACCGGCGAUUUCCGAAUGGGGAAACCCAGUGUGUUUCGACACACUAUCAUUAACUGAAUCCAUAGGUUAAUGAGGCGAACCGGGGGAACUGAAACAUCUAAGUACCCCGAGGAAAAGAAAUCAACCGAGAUUCCCCCAGUAGCGGCGAGCGAACGGGGAGGAGCCCAGAGCCUGAAUCAGUGUGUGUGUUAGUGGAAGCGUCUGGAAAGGCGCGCGAUACAGGGUGACAGCCCCGUACACAAAAAUGCACAUGCUGUGAGCUCGAUGAGUAGGGCGGGACACGUGGUAUCCUGUCUGAAUAUGGGGGGACCAUCCUCCAAGGCUAAAUACUCCUGACUGACCGAUAGUGAACCAGUACCGUGAGGGAAAGGCGAAAAGAACCCCGGCGAGGGGAGUGAAAAAGAACCUGAAACCGUGUACGUACAAGCAGUGGGAGCCUCUUAAUGGGGUGACUGCGUACCUUUUGUAUAAUGGGUCAGCGACUUAUAUUCUGUAGCAAGGUUAACCGAAUAGGGGAGCCGAAGGGAAACCGAGUCUUAACUGGGCGUUAAGUUGCAGGGUAUAGACCCGAAACCCGGUGAUCUAGCCAUGGGCAGGUUGAAGGUUGGGUAACACUAACUGGAGGACCGAACCGACUAAUGUUGAAAAAUUAGCGGAUGACUUGUGGCUGGGGG